ACGGUCGCAUCACGUUGAAACACCGUUUCCCAGACGAUCACCGAAGUUAAGCAACCUCGUUCCUGGCCAGUACAUAAAUGGGUGACCGUUUAGGAAUACUACGUGCCGUAUG